UAAUACGUAGGCAGCAAGCGUUGUUCGGAGUUACUGGGCGUAAAGGGUGUGUAGGCGGUUCACUAAGUUCGGUGUGAAAUCUCCCGGCUUAACUGGGAGGGUGCAUUGAAAACUGGUGGGCUUGAGUAUGGGAGAGGUAAGCGGAAUUCCUGGUGUAGCGGUGAAAUGCGUAGAUAUCAGGAGGAACACCUGUGGUGUAGACAGCUUACUGGACCAUCACUGACGCUGAAACACGAAAGCGUGGGUAGCAAACAGGAUUAGAUACCCUGGUAGUCCACGCCCUAAACGAUGCAUACUUGGUGUGAGCCAUUCAUUUGGUUCGUGCCGGAGCUAACGCGUUAAGUAUGCCGCCUGGGGAGUACGGUCGCAAGGCUG
rnacentral:rRNA from 1 species